UAGUCACGGGAAGACUGGAAACAAUAUUCUUUUGCAGAGCAGGGUGCUCGCAGCCAUGCAGCGUGCCUGCGUGCACGCGUGACUCUGGCAGGAGGAGGAGGACAAACUUUGCUACCUGUGAAACGAAGACUUCGUAGGCAGCAUUGGGAAUGAAAACAAUUCCAUUUACAAUGUUGUUCACAGGCUCCGUAAAUGAGUGCCUUGAUGACUUCAGUGGGAAUUCCUCGUAAACAAGAAGGGGAAAGGAUCAUCUGGAAUCUUCUGAAGGCAGGAGUCAGGGCCAGAAGUCCCCUGAAAGACCUACGCGAGAAGAGAAUCUCACCCGCUGCCUUGUCUCCAGAGACCCUGUCCUACACUGAGGUUCAGCUAAAGGUUGGUGACUGAGAGAGAAGGAACAAACCAGAGUGUUUUACAGCAGCCCAGCUGAACAAAGGGAUCUACCAAUACUGGUGAGGUUCCUUCUGUGAACUGGACAAUGGAAGUUGCCCCCAAUUCAUGGUCACUCUUCCCACUGACGAACA